CACUUACAAAGAGGCAGCAGGCGCGCAAAUUACCCAAUCCUGACUCAGGGAGGUAGUGACAAGAAAUAACAAUAAACCGGCUUAUGCCGGUUUAAUUGGAAUGAGUACAAUUUAAACAUCUUAACGAGGAACAAUUGGAGGGCAAGUCUGGUGCCAGCAGCCGCGGUAAUUCCAGCUCCAAUAGCGUAUACUAAAGUUGUUGCAGUUAAAAAGCUCGUAGUUGGAUUUCUGUGGGGACGGAGCGGCCGGCCGCACAUCGCGGUUCGAGCUAGCGCUUUCCCUACAUCCUGCCGCGAACCGUGCUACCAUUAGUUUGGUGGCGCCGGGGAUCGGCUCGAUUACUUUGAGAAAAAUAGAGUGUUCAAAGCAGGCCACAUGCCUUGAAUAAGUUAGCAUGGAAUAAUAACUAAGGACUUCGGUUCUAUUUUGUUGGUGUUCGGGGCUGAAGUAAUGAUUGAUAGGGACAAUUGGGGCGGUCUGUAUUCCAAAGCGAGAGGUGAAAUUCUUAGACCUUCGGAAGACAAACAGCUGCGAAAGCGUUCCGCAAGGAUGUUCCCUUUGAUCAAGAACGAGAGCUGGGGGAUCGAAGACGAUCAGAUACCGUCGUAGUCUCAACUAUAAACUAUACCAGCUAGGGAUCGGCCAACGUUAUUUUAUACCGACUUGGUCGGCACCUUAUGAGAAAUCAAAGCAUCUGGGUUCCGGGGGGAGUAUGGUCGCAAGGCUGAAACUUAAAGGAAUUGACGGAAGGGCACCACCAGCCGUGGAGCCUGUGGCUUAAUUUGACUCAACACGGGAAAACUUACCAGGUCCAGACAUAGUAAGGAUUGACAGAUUGAUAGCUCUUUCUUGAUUCUGUGGGUGGUGGUGCAUGGCCGUUCUUAGUUGGUGGAGUGAUUUGUCUGGUUAAUUCCGUUAACGAACGAGACCCCAGCCUGCUAAAUAGCGCGCGUGAGCUUUGCUCGCGGCGAGCUUCUUAGAGGGACUAUGAUGCGCGAUAGCACAUGGAAGUUUGGGGCAAUAACAGGUCUGUGAUGCCCUUAGAUGUUCUGGGCCGCACACGGGCUACACUGGCGCCUGCAACGAGCAUAUCAGCUGGCCCGAGGGGGUCUUGGCUAAUCUUUUGAACCGGCGCCGUGCUUGGGAUUGACCUUUGCAAUUGUUGGUCAUGCAACGAGGAAUGCCUUGUAAACGCGAGUCAUCAGCUCGCAUUGAAUACGUCCCUGCCCUUUGUACACACCGCCCGUCGCUCCUACCGAUGAAUGUUCCGAUGAAAUUUUCGGAGAGCACCUGUGAACUUGGCUCCGCCUUGCGAACGGGAGGCUCAAAGUCACAUAAAUCUGAACAUAAGGG
rnacentral:rRNA from 1 species